ensembl:lncRNA
CUGGGUUCAGACCCAGUUCACAGACCGUAUACUGACCCACUGGGUUCAGCCCAGACCGUAAACUGUACUGACCCACUGGGUUCAGCCCAGAUCGUAGACUGUGUUGACCCACUGGGUUCAGCCCAGACCGUAGACUGUGUUGACCCACUGGGUUCAGCCCAGACCGUAGACUGACCCACUGGGUUCAGCCCAGACCGUAGACUGACCCACUGGGUUCAGCCCAGAUCGUAGACUGUGUUGACCCACUGGGUUCAGCCCAGACCGUAUACUGACCCACUGGGUUCAGCCCAGACCGUAGACCGACCCACUGGGUUCAGCCCAGAUCGUAGACUGUACUGACCCACUGGGUUCAGCCCAGACCGUAGACUGACCCACUGGGUUCAGCCCAGACCCUAGACUG